GCCUGUGCCGCCCGGUAGGAGACCGCGGCGGCAGCCGGAGCUGUCCGGGCGGCACCGAGAGGGAAGCCGCGGCAGCCCGGGAGCGAGUGCUGAGGACAGCUGUGCCGGAGGACACUCAGGAUGAAACAGCUGUGCUUUGGCUCGAUGAAACUCAGGAUGGGAUUCAGAAGGCUAACAAGGACACUGAAGAGUCACAGAGAUGUAAGCAUUGUGGCAAAUACCGUGGUUCAAUGCCAUUGUCAACCAAAUAUUUGUCACCAACUGAAAGAAUACGAGCAAGAAAUGUACACAUGCAAAGGAAAUUAGAAUACAAGUGUUUGCUUCAGGAGGCAGUGGCAGUGAACGGGUGAAACACUGGGUGAGAGGAGGCUGUCAUCAUUAUCAUAACGUGAGGAGCAGAGAGGGAGGAUGGGAUGAAGCGACGGAAUUUGUGCAGAAUGACACACAGCUGUCACGGGAGGAGAUGCAGAGCACUGUAUCUGGAGUCACGGCAGCAUAGGACCGAGAGCAGUUGUGGCUGGCCAAAGAGAACCUGAUGGUGAAGCUUCAGGCUUGUUGUCGAGGCUGUCUUGUUUGUCAGGAAUUCAACUCCAGAAUGAGGUUUUUGAAGAAGCAAGUUCCAGCCAUCACUUGCAUGCAGUCCCAGUGGCGUGGCUAUAAACAGAGGAGGGCAUAUCAAAUCCGUUUGGAUUACUGACGAGCACACAAGGACCAAGAAGUGAAGAUUGAGUCACUGGCCAGGAUGUAUCAAGCCAGAAGGCGUUGCAGAGAUCACUUGCAAUAAUUCAGAGACCACGUAA